GUCUACGGCCAUACCACCCUGAAUGCGCCCGAUCUCGUCUGAUCUCGGAAGCUGAGCAGGGUCGGGCCUGGUUAGUACUUGGAUGGGAGAAUUUUAAUUUGCCACACU
rnacentral:rRNA from 1 species